rnacentral:rRNA from 1 species
CAGCAGCCGCGGGAAUACGAAGGGGGCUAGCGUUGUUCGGAAUUACUGGGCGUAAAGCGCGUGUAGGCGGGCUUUUAAGUCAGGGGUGAAAUGCCAAGGCUCAACCUUGGAACUGCCUUUGAUACUGGAAGUCUUGAGUCCGGGAGAGGUGAGUGGAACUGCGAGUGUAGAGGUGAAAUUCGUAGAUAUUCGCAAGAACACCAGUGGCGAAGGCGGCUCACUGGCCCGGAACUGACGCUGAGACGCGAAAGCGUGGGGAACAAACAGGAUUAGAUACCCGAGUAGUCCCUGUCUCUUAUAC